rnacentral:rRNA from 1 species
CCAGACUCCUACGGGAGGUAGCAGUGGGGGAUAUUGCACAAUGGGGGAAACCCUGAUGCAGCGACGCCGCGUGGGUGAAGAAGCGCCUCGGCGCGUAAAGCCCUGUCAGCAGGGAAGAAAAUGACGGUACCUGAAGAAGAAGCCCCGGCUAACUCCGUGCCAGCAGCCGCGGUAAUACGGAGGGUGCGAGCGUUAAUCGGAAUUACUGGGCGUAAAGCGCUCGUAGGCGGUAUGUCAAGUCAAGGGUGAAAUCCCCGCGCUCAACGUGGGAACUGCCUUUGAAACUGGCAAACUGGAGUGUGUGAGAGGAUAGUGGAAUUCCAGGUGUAGGAGUGAAAUCCGUAGAUAUCGGGAGGAACAUCAGUGGCGAAGGCGACUAUCUGGCACAUAACUGACGCUGAGGAGCGAAAGCGUGGGUAGCAAACAGGAUUAGAUACCCUUGUA